UACGGGGGGAGCAAGCGUUGUUCGGAUUUACUGGGCGUAAAGGGCGCGUAGGCGGCGCAACAAGUCACUUGUGAAAUCUCCGGGCUUAACCCGGAGCGGCCAAGUGAUACUGUCGUGCUAGAGUGCGGAAGGGGCUACUGGAAUUCUCGGUGUAGCGGUGAAAUGCGUAGAUAUCGAGAGGAACACCUGCGGCGAAGGCGGGUAGCCUGGGCCGACACUGACGCUGGAGGCGCGAAAGCCAGGGGAGCGAACGGG
rnacentral:rRNA from 1 species